rnacentral:rRNA from 1 species
ACGGGGUGCAGCAGGCGCGAAACCUUUACACUGCACGACAGUGCGAUAGGGGGAUUCCGAGUGCGAGGGCAUACAGUCCUCGCUUUUCUGGAUCGUAAGGAGAUGCAAGAAUAAGGGCUGGGCAAGACCGGUGCCAGCCGCCGCGGUAAUACCGGCAGCCCGAGUGAUGGCCGAUAUUAUUGGGCCUAAAGCGUUCGUAGCCGGCCAGUCAAGUCUGUUGGGAAAUCCACGCGCUCAACGCGUGGGCGUCCAGCGGAAACUGACUGGCUUGGGGCCGGAGGACUCGAGGGGUACGUCCGGGGUAGGAGUGAAAUCCCGUAAUCCUGGACGGACCACCGGUGGCGAAAGCGCCUCGAGAGGACGGACCCGACGGUGAGGAACGAAAGCCAGGGUCUCGAACCGGAUUAGAUACCCGUGUAGUCC